AUCAAGGAACGUUACAGUGUUUCCACUACUGUACUUAACAGACAGCUACACGUACAUACCACUAGCACCUCUACAGCUACACGCCACGCGUAUAAUAUACGCCGUAUUUACACUACACGUGGACGAAGGGCGUGCCGGUGAGGUACUCGGUGGCCGCGAGCGCGACGAGCCCCAGCAUAGCCAGGCGUCCGUUCCAGAGUUCGGCGUCGGCGGUCAUGAAGCCGCCGCUCCUCCCCUCGACGCUCUCCCCCUGGAGCAGGGGCGCCAGCGACGCCGCGGACAGCACGACGGCGGUGUACGCAAACCACGUGAGUCCGGCGCCGUUGCCGACCUGCGCGAGGAGGCCGUCCCCACGGGCCGCCUCGACGGCGAGCGCCGACACGAAGCCCACCAUCGCCAGCCGCCCGUUGAUCCGCUCCGGCGCCGGCCCGCUGAACGCAAGCGUGUCCCAGAUGCUCGCCGGCUUCGCCUCCGCGGGCUUGGGCGUAGCGGCUGCGCUGCUUGUCUCGGCAUCCUCGUUCUGGGCGGCCCUGACGACGAGCGGCGCGCGCCGGCGUGGCGCGAGGCUGGCCGCCGGGAGCCGGGCAGGGAAACGGCCGGCGCGCUCGCCGGCGGCGGUGAAGGCGAGGGAGCUCGCGGCAGAGGCCAUCACAGUGGUUGCCAUGGGAAAUGAUGCACGGGCCAGUGAACUAGGAUGCCGAUCGCUGGGAGAAGUGUCUAGAGGUAGCUGGGGACUGUGGGCAGGGAUCGAUCGCUUGCUUCUGUUGCUGUUGUGCUUGGAUAUGUGAGCGACAUGGCGGCUUUAUAUAUAGGCGCCGGCGAGGUGGCGAGGCUGCCCGUAAAGAGGUUGACGGUGGUGGCGGUGGCAAAGGCCACGUCGGCGGGAGAUUCACCGCCGUAGACCGAGCUGACGAUAGAGUUGCUGGUGAGAGCACGAGGGGCCGUGUACAUUCGCGCGACGUGGAGUCGUGGAGGGAGGCAGGUUCACAGCGAGCCGGGCGGCCACGUCGCCGUCGACGUGGACGGACAGGCCGCCGCGCAGGGUUGGGGAUGGUGAGGUGGUCCGCUCUGCCGCCGAAAAGUGGCAUAAGAUUCCAGGACAACGCACGGAGGGAGCGCGCGAGACGUGUGAGUUGCGAGGGUCAGUGGCGGCGAGUGGCGACAUAGGAAAAGGACGACAAAGGGGAGGUGUCUGUCGUGUGUGGCUAAUGCGAUUUCAGUCGGUGGCGUAGCCAGGAUUUUGGCGUAGGGGAGUCACGUAAACAACAUAUGAUGAGAGGCUAACUUCAAUACUUAAUGCGUUACUUAUUUUUUAUCUUGUGCACAAAAUGGCUAAUACCAGUUUCACAAGUCACAAGUAGAUCAACAACCAAUAAUCAUUCAAUCAAUCAUUAGUUUGUGUGUUCUUACCUACUAAAAAUACAUUAGCACUAAGUACAUGCUUAGUGUUUGCUCAAACUUUUUUUUUGGGUGGGGGGCAUGGGCCCCGCCAGCCGCCCCCUACGCCACUGAUUUCAGUCGAGGAUUCGAGAUGAAGGUAAUUUGCAUGGUUUAACGAAUGAGAACCGGAUUGAGAGUGAGGUUAUCAAACUUCUAAAACUUGAUCAAGUUACGGCUGUCCGAUGAGUUUUUCGUGUAUUCUAAUUCGAGGAUCUCAUUUCACCAUGGACCAGAAGAACUCGUGUUUAUGUGUUUGACCUCCUUCUAGCAGUUCUGAGAAAUCCCUACUCACCCUAUUCUAUAAUUAAAAAUACUCUCUCCAUUUAAUAUAUAUAUGUAUAUAUAUAUAUAGUUUAUCGUAAGUUAAGUUAUACCACAAAAAGUACAAUCCUAACAUUUGAAAAGAAUAAAAAUAGUGCAAUUCUACGAAUUAGAUCUAACAUCUGCUCGAUUAAGUGGUUAGAUUUAAUUUGCAUUCCAAAACUAACAACAUGUGGCCAUCAAAUUAAGGUAUAGGUGUCUUUUCACGCCACCACUAAUUUAUCUGAAAAAAUUAGAAUGCACUCUUCAUGAGACACGAGGAGUAGUCUAUUGUAAAAAAAACUAACAUUUAUGAUAUAAUACUAAUACUAUUGCAUCCAUUAUAAUAUAUAUUUUCAUAUUGUUCAUAAGUCAAACUUAUCUAACUUUUGACUAAGUGUAUAAAAAAUAUAUAACAUGUACAAUAUUAAAUAAAUGCACUGCUAAAAAACAUUUCAUAUGCUAUAUUCGAUGAAACUAAUUUAAUGCUAUAGAUGAUGUAUUUUCUAUAAACUAUUCUCAUAGUGUAUUCAUUGAAGCAAAUUUAAUGCUGUAGAUAUACAUAUAUUUUUCUAACUAAACUACCAUCGCAAUCCUCCAACUAGGAUGAUUCUUUACUAUUAAUUGCAGUGGCACAACGUAAUUUUAGGUGAUGUGGUGCUCUAUUAAAUGAGCGAGGGAAUGAAGAUUGGAAAAACGUAUCUUACGGGAAAUGAUCUGUUAUAUAGGUAAGGUGUAUGUUGUAAAUUAUAUGGUUAAAGAUGCAUGUUGUAAAUUAUAUGGUAAGGCAACUUCAUGCGUGAUCCUCGGUUCGAAUCUUAUAUAUCAUAUGUUAUAUUAUUUCGCAUGAAAAGUCGCCUGACUCGUGGUUUGCAGCGUACCUUGUGUAGAUACCAACUAAGAUACCAACUAAAUUGUAUUAACAUCAUCAUUAUUUGCAAAUUUGUGUGAAAAGCGUGUGUUACUAUAAUUUGUAUGGACAUCACUCUUAAGCCCUCAUAGAGUUAGGGUGUUUAAGAAAAAUUAAAAGUUUGCAUGAAAAUUAUGUGGUGGUAGAGCUGUUAAUAAGUUACUCCCUCCGUCCCAAAUUGUAGGUCGUUUUAGUAUUUCUAGACCUAUAGCUUUUGCUAUGUACCUAGACAUAAUAUAUAUGUAGAUGUAUAGCAAAAGCUAUGAAUUUAGAAAUGCUAAAAUGACCUACAAUUUGGAAUGGAAGGAGUACACCUUAAUACGAAGGCAAUUUAUGUGUGGCGAAGAAAGUUCAUUUCAAAUUUAUAUAACCGUCUAACGGAAGUUUUUUGUUUUGAAAUAACAGUUAAAUUUUGUCAAACGAAUCCUGCAAUAUAUUUUCUUUUUCAGGGGAUGUUACAAUGUUUCCACUACUGUACUUAAGUACUUAACAGCUACACGUACAUACAUUUCGUAUAUACUAGCACCUCUACAACUACACCCGUAUAGUAUACGCCGUAUUUACACUACACGUGGACGAAGGGCGAGCCGGUGAGGUACUCGGUGGCCGCGAGCGCGACGAGCCCGAGCAUGGCGAGGCGCCCGUUCCAGAGCUCGGCGUCGGCGGUCAUGAAGCCGCCGCUCCUGCCCUCGACGCUCUCCCCCUGGAGCAGCGGCGCCAGCGACGCUGCGGACAGCACGAUGGCGGUGUAGGCGAACCACGUGAGCCCGGCGCUGUUGCCGGCCUGCGCGAGGAGGCCGUCCCCGCGGGCCGCCUCGACGGCGAGCGCCGACACGAAGCCCACCAUCGCCAGCCGCCCAUUGAUCCGCUCCGGCGCCGGCCCGCUGAACGCCAGUGCGUCCCAGAGCCCCGGGCUCCUCGCCGCCGGCUUGGGCUUGGCCGCUGCGCUGCUUGUCUCGGCAUCCUCGUUCUGGGCUGCCCUGACGAUGAGCGGCGCGCGCCGGCGCGGCGCUAGGCUGGCCGCUGGGAGCCGGGCAGGGAAGCCGCCGGCGGCGGCGAAGGCGAGGGAGCUCGUGGCGGAGGCCAUCACCGUGGUUGCCAUGGGAAAUGAUGCACGGGCUAGUGAGCAAGGAUUGAUCGCUUUGUUUGUUGUAGUAGCUGUGAGACUGUGACUGGCUUCGUUGCUGUUGUGCUGUGAUAU
rnacentral:lncRNA from 1 species